UGUGGUUAAAAGUUUCAAUGCUGAAACGGGUAGGGCUAACAAGGUGCCGAAAUUGAAACUACUUCCGGGCGUACCUAAACAACCGGGUGGAAUUGAAUGUGGCUAUUAUGUAAUGAGAUAUAUGAAGGAGAUUAUAAAUGAUGACACAUUUUCGUUUCCGACUAAGUGGGCAGCAAAGACUCGGAAAGGAUACACCCAACAGCAACUUGACGAGGUGCGCAUUGAGGUGGCUGACUAUUUGCAGACUUUGUUAUAGAUGUUGACUAGCAAAGUGAUUUUGAGCAAGGCUAGCUAGAUUUUUUGUGAACUAUUUUGGAGUAGUUGUACUGUUGCAGCAAAUGUGAACAAAACUACAUGUACACUUAUUGCAAUGGUAUGUUUUAGGCUAGCCUUGAAGUAGGUUGGGGUAUUUUUGCCUAUUUUUUGAACUAUUAAUAUCUUUGAUGUUGGAUUAUACAAAUUAAUGCAAUGCCCCAUAUUC